rnacentral:RNase_P_RNA from 1 species
UGGGCCGGCCGGGCGACCGCGUCGCACUCCUCGUGGGUGCGCCGAGGAAGGUCCGGGCUCCACAGGGCGAGGUGGUGGGCAACACCCACCCGGGGCAACCUGCGGGACAGUGCCACAGAGAACAGACAGCCGACCCUCUCGAGCGAUCGGGAGGGUCGGUGAUGGUGAAACGGUGGUGUAAGAGACCACCAGCGGCCGGGGUGACCCGGUCGGCUCGGCAAACCCCACCUGGAGCAAGGUCAAGAAGUCACUUCGGUGGCGCGUGUGCGUCCGAGGGCUGCCCGCCCGAGCACACGGGUAGAUCGCUGGAGGUCGUCGGCAACGGCGACCGUAGAUGGAUGGUCGCCCCCGGACCCGUGAGGGCGAGGGACAGAACCCGGCCUACAGGUCGGCCCAUCCG